GACGGGGCCGCACAAGCGGUGGAGCAUGUGGUUUAAUUCGAAGCAACGCGAAGAACCUUACCAGGUCUUGACAUCCCUGACAACCCGAGAGAUCGGGCGUUCCCCCUUCGGGGGGACAGGGUGACAGGUGGUGCAUGGUUGUCGUCAGCUCGUGUCGUGAGAUGUUGGGUUAAGUCCCGCAACGAGCGCAACCCUCGACCUUAGUUGCCAGCAUUCAGUUGGGCACUCUAAGGUGACUGCCGGCUAAAAGUCGGAGGAAGGUGGGGAUGACGUCAAAUCAUCAUGCCCCUUAUGACCUGGGCUACACACGUGCUACAAUGGGCGGUACAAAGGGUCGCGAACCCGCGAGGGGGAGCCAAUCCCAAAAAGCCGCUCUCAGUUCGGAUUGCAGGCUGCAAUUCGCCUGCACGAAGUCGGAAUCGCUAGUAAUCGCAGGUCAGCAUACUGCGGUGAAUACGUUCCCGGGCCUU
rnacentral:rRNA from 1 species